rnacentral:rRNA from 1 species
CCUACGGGUGGCAGCAGUGAGGAAUAUUGGUCAAUGGACGAGAGUCUGAACCAGCCAAGUAGCGUGAAGGAUGACUGCCCUAUGGGUUGUAAACUUCUUUUAUAAAGGAAUAAAACGAGGCACGUGUGCUUUUUUGCAUGUACUUUAUGAAUAAGGAUCGGCUAACUCCGUGCCAGCAGCCGCGGUAAUACGGAGGAUCCGAGCGUUAUCCGGAUUUAUUGGGUUUAAAGGGAGCGUAGAUGGGUUGUUAAGUCAGUUGUGAAAGUUUGCGGCUCAACCGUAAAAUUGCAAUUGAUACUGGCAGUCUAGAGUACAGAUGAGGUAGGCGGAAUGCGUGGUGUAGCGGUGAAAUGCUUAGAUAUCACGAAGAACCCCGAUUGCGAAGGCAGCUUACUAAACUGUGACUGACAUUGAUGCUCGAAAGUGUGGGUAUCAAACAGGAUUAGAUACCCGAGUAGUC